rnacentral:rRNA from 1 species
AAUGAACGUUGGCGGCGUGGAUUAGGCAUGCAAGUCGAACGCCCCGCAAGGGGCGUGGCGUAAGGGUGAGUAAGGCGACGGUAACCCACCCCGGGGAUGGGCAUAGCCGCGGGAAACUGCGGGUAAUUCUCAGCGACGUUGGCCCCCGGCAUCGGGGGCCAACCAAAGGGUGCGAUUCCGCCCCGGGACGGGCCGUCGUGGUAUCAGGUCGUUGGUGGGGUCACGGCCCACCAAGCCGAGGACGCCUACCGGGCGUGCGAGCGUGGCCCGGCACACUGGGACUGAGACACUGCCCAGACUCCUACGGGAGGCUGCAGUCGAGAAUCUUCGGCAAUGGGCGCAAGCCUGACCGAGCGACGCCGCGUGGAGGAUGAAGGCCUUCGGGUUGUAAACUCCUGUCGAGGGGGACCAAGGCCGCGUGAAGAACGCGGCUUGAGGGAGCCCUGGAGGAAGCACGGGCUAAGUUCGUGCCAGCCGCCGCAGUAAGAC